rnacentral:lncRNA from 1 species
AGAGGCGACUUGAGAGCCAGAGACGGUGAUGCGGGAGUCCUACUCCUACUUGUUCGAUGCUCUGGAUUGAGGUAUGUUUUAAGUUUCGAGGACGAAACUUCCUGUAGUGAGCGAGGAUGUAGUGUUCCGGAGGUUUGGAUAGGAUUGGCUACAGUAUUAGUGACUGGUCGACACAUCUGGAGAGUGUCGAACUAAGUCGAAGUCGUUUCUGUACGAAAUGGAUGC